GGGACUCUGGAAAGACUUGCUCAUAUAUAUGUGAAAGUCACCGAAGAAGCAAAUGAGGCUAUCUCACAAAACUUUCAGGUAAAAAAACAGAGGA
rnacentral:ncRNA from 1 species